rnacentral:lncRNA from 1 species
CUAGCUAAAUGAGGAUUGAUAUCGGUAGUAAUCGUGAACGUUAUGGAUCAGUUAAAUCAUCAAAAUUGACCAAAUACUUUUGACGUGUUGAGAUAUGUAGGAGCUUGAUGUGUGCUGCUGUGCUCAUGUAUUGGACACCUGGUUGAUUUUAGAUGGAUCUGAACCUGGUGCGAAUGCGGAGGCAGAGGACUGGAAUGAGAGCAGCUCUGGCACAGAGCAGGAGAACACUGGCACAGAGCUGUUCUGGCUCGAUUAUCAAGCUGACAACGGCCAAAUAACGUCUCUCAUUGUUCACAAGGAGGACAAGCCAGAAGUCAUUGUGCAACGCGUGGCGGAAAAGAACGCUCUGGACUCGGCCAUGAGGGCGGCGCUGUUGGCACGUGUGGGACAGGAAAUGGACAAGCGCUGUGACAAAUGCUGAGAGAAAAAGAGAGGCGCUUAAAUAAAAGUGGAGAACAAGGCACUGAGACACCACUGAGCCAGAAUUGAAUCGGAACUGCAUUUCUGUACGACGGCACCAAGCAUGCCGCAUUCAUAGAUGUCUUGGAGAAGCCAUGCAUCCUAAUUAUGUGAAGGUGUAGCCUUCUUGAAAGAGAGUGGACUCGAAACUCAAGAGAAAUGACACUGUCAAGCAUGAAACUGAUCUGGUUUGAUCUAAAAUAGGAUGUAUUACAGAAAACUGGACCCGUAUUGUUCUUUCAACUGGAAACUGAAAUCCUUGUCACUCCUCACGUCACACUUUGGAAAGACGCUGGACAAAUGUUGAGAGCUCUAAGGCUUUUUACACCUGAGGUGACUCUCGUUUGGGAUGGGAAAUGUAUAACCGCAAGGUCUGCAUUGCUUCACUAGGUCCCAUAAGUCUGUGUCUUGUAGACUUCCAGAAAAGAGUGUUUUUAUAUACGGUUUAGGCUGAAUCCCUACAGAAAUCAGGACAAAAAUGAAACCAAACUUCGAAUGCUUCCAGUCUGUUUAGUCUAAGCGAAGGUUUGAAGGAGUGUAGUUGCUAGUGGAAAUAGCUGAGGAAGUUCAAACAAAGUUUAAAGAAUGCUAAUAAGGUCCUCGUUGCUCUGAUAUUUAUAUCCAUGCAUUUGGAUAUCUGCCUUUUCCUUUUAUGUUCAUAAAUAUUCAUGUUGAUGUACUGAUAUAAAUAUCACAUUUUCAUCUGUUGGUGCUCAUGUUGUUGUAGAAACAAAAAAGGACCAAUGUGUCUCUUUUUUUCACCUCUUCAUUGUACAGGUAGAUUUUUAUUUUUGUAAUCGUGUUCCAACUGUGUACUCUUGUGUUCUUGUUUAGAUUGCAGGAUGAAUUGUUAAUUCUGCCAUACAGACAGACGAUGGCAGUGUGCACUAUGUUGACAUCGUGUGCAAAAAUAGAUUUUUCUUUCACUGAGGAAGGCUCUUUAAAUUAAAUUUGAAGGAAAAAAGGGGGGGA